UUUUUCUUUUUUUUAGUUUAAAUAAAUUGAAUUUAAAAAAAGAAAUCAUGCCAACAAAUGACAGAGUUGCUAUACUAAAAAGUAUUUGAAAACAAUGCUACAUAUUUAUUCAUGACAAUGAUGGGAAUUGGUUUUUAUCUCGAUUAAUUGAUUAAAAAACAGAUUUAAGAAAGUAGUAAAAUUUUAAUUUAAUUCAGUGAUAUUAAAUGACAAAAAUCAUGGAACUGGAUCUUUUUCAUAAUAGUUGUACUUUUAGGUUUUAAAUAAUACAAUAGGACAGCCCGGUGGCUCAGUGGUUUAGCGCCAUCUUCAACCCAGGGCGUGAUCCUGGAGACCCGAGAUCGAAUCCCAUGUCAGGCUCCCUGCAUGGAGCCUGCUUCACCCUCCGCCUUUGUCUUUGCCCGCCCCCCCCCGUGUCUCUCAUGAAUAAAUAAAUAAAAUCUUAAAAAAAUAAUAAAAAUCUGUUGUCCAAAUUGGGAUGUGCUGUAAGUGUAAAAUACACUAGAUGUCAAAGACAGUACAAAAAAGGUAAAAACAUCUCACUAAUAAUUUUUAUAAUGAUAACUGUUAUUUUUGAUAUAUUAGGUUAAAUAAAAUAUAUUAUUAAAAUAUAUUUCACCUGUUUAUUUUGACUUUUUAAAAAAGAUUUUAUUUAUUUAUUUGAGAGAGAGAGAGAGACUGUGUGCAUGCACAUGCGCACAUCCGUUGGGGGCAGGGGCAGAAGGAGAGAGAGAAGCUGACUCCUCACUGAGCAGGGAACCUGACAGGGGGCUCAAUCCUAGGACCCUGGGAUCAUAACCUGAGCUGAAGGCAAAUGCUUAACUGAGUCACCCAGGUGCCCCUCUUUUUAAAAAACCUUUUUAAAAAAAAGGAUUUAUUUAUUUUAGGGAGGUAGGGGCAGAGGGAGAGGGAGAGUCCCAAGCAGACUCUGUACUGAGCGUGGGGCCAGACACAGGGCUUGACCCCAAGAUCCUGAAAUCACGACCUGAGCCAAAACCAAGAGUCCAGGACUUAACCGACUGUGCCACCCAGGUGCCCCUGUUCUUUUUUACUUAAAGAAAUGUGGCUCCCUGCAAAAUUUUUAAUAUGUGGUUCACAUUAUGUUUCUCUGGAUAGCAUUGCUCUAUACCAGUGGUCCUCAAAUGUGGCAACUCGACCGUCAGCAUCACCUGGGAGCUUAUUAGAAAAGCAAAUUACAGACCUCACCUCAGACUUACGGAAUCAAAGAUUUGGGGGUGGGGCCCGUUUUAACAAACCCUCCAAAUGAUUUUGAUCUAUGCAAAAGUUUGAGAACCAUUAUUUCAGACCAGUGGUUCUCAACUUUGGCUGCAAACUAGAAUUAUCUGGGGAGCUUAGGGCAAGAAGUCCUUGUGCUAAAGCUACAACCCAGACCAAUUAAAUCAACAACUCUUUGACCAGUCAGGAGUGUUCUUCAAAGCUCUGCAGGUAACUCUAAAGUGGGAGAAAGAUUGAAAACCACUGGUGUAGAUCCAUGAUAUCUGAGCUUUCUAGAAGGGAUGUAGCUCUCAGGAAACAUUUUUCUUCCUGCUUUUCACAAGGCAGUAGUACCAUCAAUGUCUGUAUGCCUUCUUGCCGUGGAGAUACUGGGCAUGGAUGGGCAGGAGACUUUGCAGGUAUCAAAGAUUCAUGUAUCAAAUCUGUUUACUCAUGUGUGCCAUUUAUGCCUGUUACAUUAACUGUGAACAUGGCUAUGCCUUCUUGGUUUAAUAUUAUUGGACUUUCACCAGAUUCAUAGGAGAGUGAACCUGGAAUUAGUAGAAAAUGCAAAAGCUUUGAGAGAGGAGUGAAGAAUGGCAUUCUUUUUAAUGCUAUUAUUUUGGGAGAAUUUUCUCAGGACAGAGCACUACCUUUAUGUAGUGCUGGCAGAAACUGGCAGUUAUCACUGGACUCACUGACUUCCCCUGUGGGCCUCCAUUCCAUGGAAUCCUAUCAGCGGCUAACAGAUAUUUCUUAGUACCAUGGAUAUUACCACCCUUUAGUUUCCAUAAUAGUUGGUUCUCUGUUGAAAGCUAAAAUUAUUGGUAAAUCUAACCAAUGUAACUUUAAAAACCUAUGAAGGCAUGAUGCAUAGUUUAUGUCACCAGGAAAUGAUGGCUAUCAAGCAGUUUUCAUUGAUACUUUGUCAACCUUAAAAACAAAAUAGCCAGUUAUUUAACCAGCAGCAAAAAAAAAAAAAAAAAAAAAAAAAAAAAAGAGAGAGAGAAUUUAUUUAGGAAUAGCAGAGGAAUUGCAGUUUGGGACUGCAAAUUAUGGCAAACCAUUGGCAAGCCCUAAGAUGGAAGGAAAAAGAAUAUCCUCAUAUAGAGGAAAGAAAGCAGUUGGAAGGGAUUGCUUUGGAGAGUUUGAGGUUGUGAGGACUUCUCAUUGGCUAAGUUCAUGUGGUUUCUCACUGGCUGAGUUGUUGCCAAGCAAGGAGAAUCUUCCUUCUUCAAGCUGAAGUACGCUAAGUAAGCUGCCAGGAAGCUCCCUUCAUUGUCUCCAGCCUCCAUUUCAACUUCAUUUAUCGUUUUUCACAGAUCUAACUUCCAGUUGCUUGACAUCACUAAGAGGUCUUGUGUAAAAGGCAUACCUGCAUCACUGUAGCAGAGUAUAAACCUUUUCAGGUGCCCCAUCUUGAAACUGCUAAUGUUUGUAAUGUUAAAACGUUUUGUAAAUAUAAUCGAUGAUAUAGACAAAAUGUCUCCUGAUGGGAAAAUGUAUCUUUUUAAGUUUCUAUACAAGUACUGUAUAACAUGAUCCAGAAUAGGUGAAACAACUGGCUUCUUCUUCAAAUGUACUUCAGCAAAAUAUUGCAACCAAAUUAUAUCAUAGGAAAAUUAACAUGCUUCAUGAAAAUUUGUUCAGGUUUAAGUGAGCAGUUAAGAUAUAAAUGAUUUAUAUAUGCUGUGACUUAGUCUAUGUUUUUUUUCCAAAAUUAGUCACUAUGGAGUGUCUGUUUUUAUAUUGUAUGCAUAAUGAUUUUUUUUUGGCUUUCAUUAGGUUUAUUUUGGUGUGUGAUAGUGUUUUCUCAAUGCAACUGUAAAUACAUACAUACAUACAUAAAUUGAUGUGUAGAUCCAAGAUAUUUACAAAAUAUUUUUCCAAAUUACAUUUAGUUAUUAUGACUUUUUGUCUUUAUUUUUCUUUCAGUUUUAUUUUUAUUUUUUGUAUAUAUUUUUUUUAUUGAAGUUCAAUUUGCCAACAUACAACAUAACACCCAGUGCCCAUCCCGUCAAGUGCCCUCCUCAGUUGUAUGCAUAAUGAUUGUAAUAUAUAGUAAGAAUGAGGUGGUAUUACAUUAUCCCAAACAGGAACAAUGCUUUUAACUGUUAAAGAGUAAUAUUGCUUUCCUCAGGAAGGAAAAAAAAAAAAAA
rnacentral:lncRNA from 1 species